GAUGAACGCUGGCGGCGUGCUUAAUACAUGCAAGUCGAACGAGGUGCUUUUGUAGCAAUACGGAAGUAUCCUAGUGGCGAACGGGUGAGUAACGCGUUGGUGACCUACCCCGAAGUGUGGGAUAACAGUCCGAAAGGAUUGCUAAUACCGCAUGUGGUCCCCGGGUUUAGAAACCGGUGACUAAAGCAGCAAUGCGCUUUGGGAGGGACCUGCGUCCCAUCAGCUAGUUGGUGAGGUAACGGCUCACCAAGGCGUCGACGGGUAAGGGACCUGAGAGGGUGGUCCCUCACAAUGGCACUGAAACACGGGCCAUACACCUACGGGUGGCAGCAGUAGGGAAUAUUGGGCAAUGGGCGAAAGCCUGACCCAGCAACGCCGCGUGUACGAUGAAGGCCUUCGGGUCGUAAAGUACUUUUCUGGGAGAUGAGAAAGGACAGUAUCCCAGGAAUAAGCUUCGGCUAACUACGUGCCAGCAGCCGCCGUAACAC
rnacentral:rRNA from 1 species